AUGCUGGAGACUUUGAGCUGGAGCCAGACCAUGAUGAGCAAGAUGAGGAGGAGGAUGAGGAAGAUCCUGACGCACCAGAUCCUGAUUCAGCUCAUGAGAAUGAGCCCAUACUGGAGCUAGAGCCUGAACGUGAGUUUGAGCACGAGGCAGAGCAUGACGAGCCACCUUUGGAGUUGGAGCCAGAAGGUGACCUUGAUGCAGAGUCUGAACCAGAGCCUGAGCCAGAGCCAGAGCAUCGUUCAGAACCAGAGUCAAGAGCAAAGUCGACGUCGCCUCCAAGAGAGGAUGAACCUUCUCAGAAAGGGACGAGCUCUUACUCAUCCCCACAUAAAGAUGACGAUUCUUCGGAAGAAAAGGAUUUUGACUCGAGCCACAGGCAGCAUUCCAGGGACAACACUACAGCCAAAGGUGAUGACAUUGCAGUCAAAGAAGAAGUUGAUGAAUAUUACAAAACGGGUUAUGAAGAUGCACCUAUGCAAGAUAUGUCUGUCAAGGAAGAACUUGGAAAUGGAUAUGAAGGUUCUAUGAAAAUUGAGGAAAUUGAUGUAAAGGAGGAGUUACUGGAACCAAAGCAAGAACUAUCUGAUACAGAAGAUAGACGAGGAGAAAAGAGAAGAGCUCAUUCUCGGUCACGUUCUCCAGAUUCAAAGAAGCAGAGACCAGAAGUUGAAGAAGUGAGAGUGGAAGAUGAACCUGAAUUUGACAAAUCAGCAGUAUUAUUGGAUUGGUUGAGUACAACAACACCAUCGCCUAUGCCAUCGACGUCGCAUGCCCAGCCACCAGCUUUCGAGCGUCUGACCCCAGUGGAGGAGAGUAAAAAGAGGAGGAGGCGUGAACUCAUGCCAGCCAUGGUUGAAGGCUUUGAUGGUACUCGUUGGCACAAAGACCCUAACCCUGCUCUCCCCCACAUGUUUACCCCACUGAUUGAGCCUGGAGGUCCCACCUCUGCCAUGUUGGGGGCGAGAAAAAUGUCUGACUUUUUUUCGCUCUUUUUGGAUGAUCAAAUGUUGGCAGAGAUUGUGCUGCGUACCAAUGAGCUCCUUGCCCAUGUGAGAGCCGAUGUCCAUCACAAGGGCAUUGCUAUCUCCGAGGACUUGGACCUGGGGGACCUUGACCUGAGGGAACUGAAGGGUUUCAUUGGGAUUCUGAUCAUGUCGGCAGUGAGAACUGACAACCAUACGACCACGAGUGACAUGUGGGACCCUAUCGAGGCCAGUUCUUUGUACUUAUGUACAAUGACCGAGAGUCGAUUUGCCCUGUUGGCAAGACUUUUACGCUUCGACAAUUCGGCCACUAGAGCAGAGAGGAGGAAAAAUGAUCUCCUCGCACCAAUAAGGAAAUUGUUCGAUCACGUGGUGGCAAAUUGUCAGCGCAACUACAGACCUGGGCCCCACCUCACUGUGGGCGAUCAGUUUGUUCCUUUUACAGGUCGCUGUCCGUUCAAGGUGCAUAUCCCAAACAAACCAGCUAAGAUUGGUAUGAAGCUUAUGUUGGCAUGUGAUGCUAAUACACAUUACAUGUGUAAUGCUAUCGCUUACUUGGGAAAGAACUCAGUCAAGGUGCCGAGAGGAAUGACGCUUGGGGAAGUUUUUAUGUUAGAGCUUGUGGAACCUUUUCACCAAAGGGGCCGCACAGUGACAACUGAUGAGUAUUUCACGACGCUCCCGCUCGCCUUGGCACUCGCAGAUAAGGGCAUGCAUUUGUGUGGCACCAUUUGCCAGAAGCCUUACGUUCCUGAGGAACUUUGUGAAAAGGUCCUUCCCCUCAAGGGCUCGGUGGCCGUGUUCAAUUACGAACACAAUUUGACCCUUCACUGUCAGCAAGUCACGAGGACAAAGAAGGUGGUGCUGAUGAGUUCCCUGCAUCAUGGUUCAUCUGAGCUAGAGAAAAGGAAGACGGACAUUCAGAUGUUCUAUAACUCAACGAAGGGGGGUGUACACACAUUCAAUCAGCUGUGUGCUACAUCAAAUUGUAUACGUGAGACAAGACGCUGGCCACUGUGUUUCUUCUAUUGGUUAUUAAAUAUAAUUAUGGUUAAUUCUUACAUUCUCUAUUCAAGCAUACCCUUUUCCAAGACGAUGCCAAGGCGAAAGUUCCUCAAGGAGGUUCGCCAUUGAGUUCUGUGCUCCCCAAGCAAAACAUCGGUUUUACACUUCAACCAACUUGUCGAAGGGACUCCAGGUGCUCAUGCUGGAGACCUUCAAAUUCAUCGAGGCUGACCCAAGACCCGAGUUAGCCUGUGGCCACAUCAAGCUUCCUAAAAGGAUUCGCUGCAAGAGCUGCCCAUCUAAGGAUGACCACAAGACAAACACUGCUUGUUCGCGUUGCAAGAACCCUGUUUGCCUGCAGCAUCAAACUGUCUUGUGUCCAAAAUGUACCUGAUGGUUGUAGUGGCAGAUUUGGCUGUUGGAGUUGGUGUGGUCUGGGGCCAUUUUGUUGACAUACCUGAAAGGUGAAGCGAUGGAGAGGUGGGCGUGCCCGAUGAUGCCAGUAGUGUGUUCAGUGCGGUACGAUAAACAUGGUGCCUACCGCAAAGAAGAAGAUAGUGUAGCAUGAUAAUUGCUGUGUGUGUGUGAUGAAAAAGAAGAGAAUAUGGUGCAAAGAAUGGCUCAGUAAAAGCCAUCGAGCACCACCAUGGUGAUUUUGCUACAAGACCCAUCUGGCAGUUUGACGGUUUGCCCAUCAAGUGUGCCCGUUAAUAGGGGAGGUCCGCCAAUCAGGCCCGGUUGUGUGGACAGGCCUUAAAUUAUGUCUUGGUGCAGAUUUUUUACAUAAAUCCGUUCUAGGAUGAAAUGAGUUUAUUCUAUGAAAAUAUUAGCCACUUCCUAUUCCAUUUA